GAAGCGGGUUUGUCGUCUGGUUGC
rnacentral:siRNA from 1 species